CCUUAAAGGACCUUGUACCCAAAGUCUCCACACCUUGAAAUCAUCAAAGAAAUUCAUGUUUAUAUCCUUAAUUGAGUUUUGUCUCACUAAAACCCUACUCUUGAAUCUUCGAAGACCUCUCGUCUUCUUCGUGGUUACUCACACCUCAGCGAAAUACCAUUCCCUGAAUCCCCUCGCACUACUCUGACUCGCCACCCCCACCACUCACUACAGAGUCCAAGAAACCCAUGUACGUAUGGCCUGCCCUCCUCCUCCCUCCUAAUCGUUUUCUAUUUUAAUGUUUGGGUUUUUCAUCUUAUGUUAUUUGGAAAUUUUGGUUGAUUCAAAGUACUAAUCUUUUUGUUUUUUUCCUGUAAAUGUGCAUUAGAAACAUGGGUUUUAUUGCUUGAAGUUGGUUUGUUGGAAUUUCUUGUUUGUAUCUUAUCAGGGUAGGUGGCAACUGUGAAUAAAUAAGCAAACUGACGAUUGCAACAUUGAGUUUGAAUGACUGAGAGGUUUAGGUUCUGGUGAGGCUAUUGGAUUUUCUUGGAGUGCUGCAAUUUAUUUUAGAAUCUUAGGUAGAAAUAAAUAAUUGGGGAUUCUUGGAAUGAGUUCAAAGUUGUGAAACUUGCAAUUAGAUUUUGAGGUGAGUUGAUAUUGAAUUAGAUAAUGUAAUCGUUGUGGAUUCAAAGAUGGAAGAAGAGAGAAAAAUUAAGUUGGCUACUUUCCUGGUCCAUCAGUUUCUGCCAUGACCAACAAGGGAUUGAAUUUGGGAAAAGGAUUAAACUUCUUUUUUCAUCUCAUAAUGAAGCAUGGUUUAUCGAGUUUUGCGUGUAGACAGUAAAGUUAUGCUUCUAAGGCUGAUCACUUCUCUAUAAGGGAGUAAUAUUCCCUGAUAAGUAAACAGGGGCAAAGAAACUACAGUUGGGGUUAAAGGGCCAUAUGGACAGGGGAGAGUCCAAGACAUGCCUCUGAUGUUUCUAUAAAGAAUCACACAGAAAGAGAGGAGGGGCAUUGCUGGAGAACCCACGUGGUUGAUUUCUCCAUUUUUACUUUCUUUUUUUUGGAGCAGUGGUUUAAUAGGCGAUGAUUGUCCCAUCUAGGGAGAAUGGAAACUAAUGGUAGCAAUUCUAAUUCCAAUGAAAAUCAGCCUUCAGAUGCUUCAAAUAUUGAUAGGAGGGAGAAGCUUACUGAGAAAGAAGUUUUUAUUAAUCAUGCGGAGGUAGCUUGGCAAGAGAGAAGAAGAGAAUGGGUCGGUGAUCAGUCUCAGAAAUCACAAAGAGCGCCAAGAGAACCGAUUAUGAGCUGGACCACAACGUAUGAGGAUCUUCUUUUAUCUACCGAACCUUUCCAGGAGCCCAUACCUUUAGCUGAAAUGGUGGAUUUUUUAGUUGAUAUCUGGCAAGAAGAAGGCCUCUAUGGCUAGUUGAUUGGAUAUCCUGUGUCCAUUAUGCACAGUAAGAAUUUUGGACCAUUUUCUUUGUGCUUAUUGAUGGUGAAGCGAAGCUAUAUCUGAAAUUUAUUAUUCAAGUCUAAUUUUCAACUUCAUGGUUCUUAUCCGGAUGAUUGUGGAGCUGGUACUGCAUUGUGUCGUCAAUUCCUCGUCCCUUCCAUUAACAGAAGGUUUUCGGAUUUUUUCUAUAUCAAUAUCGCAUCAUAAAUUUUGGGUGUAACCGGUGAUUUAUCACUUGCUCUCUCUCACAUCACAUGUUACGAGAGAUAGGGGAGGGUGAUAAGUCAUUGAUUAUAUCGUAGAAUCUCUCCUAUUCGAGGCUAGUUACUGUUUGGGCUGUACAUAAAAAUAUCACAGGCUUGCACAUAGCUGAAGAACUUCUCAGCAAAAUCGUCAUAUUCCCCGUCGUUGGGACGAUCGUGAAGCCUCCAGCGCUCGAACCACGGAUAGCGGUGUCAGCCGCAGCUGUCCAUGCAUAUCUUCUCCGGGCUUGGGCUUGAUGAGGAAAUGUGAAGUUGGUCUCAAUGGUGCGAGCGGAAAUCUCUGCCGUAGCCAGUCGGGAAGCUAGUGGAAGUGAAGGCAAACCGUUCUCAAGCAAGUUAUGAUUAAAUCGCUGGCGCGAUUAACAAGUGAUUUCUCAAAAUAAAAUAAAGAAAAUAUGUCGGAUGUUGGUGGCAAUCGAUCAGAGGUCGCGCGACUUUUGAUAACUUCUCUUUCUAUAAAUUUAAACACGUCUCCCGCUGACGGUAUGCUUAAACUUGA